CGGAGCAUGGUAAAAAUGGGCUAGGUGAAGCUGAACAACCAUUAGAGGAAGAAAAUGGUGAUUCUCUUUACUUUGAAGAGGAUGACUUAGAUGAUGUUCCAGAUCAUGAUGACAGUUAAAUUGAUGAAGAACUGAGAGCUUUUAGAGAAAAACUUAGGGAAGACAAAAAGAAUGAAGCUGCAAAGCAAAAAAAGAGAACUAAAAAAACCUCAAAUGAUCAAGGUGUUGAGCUUGGAGAAGUUGGCAUAGAUAAGGGAUUUGAAAAUAUCUUCACCAAUAAUGCAGCCAAAUAUAAUGAAAAAUUGGGAGGUGAUGAAGUGUUUCUUGAUUCAUCAGAUGAACCAAGUGAAGAUAGUGAUGAAGAGCUAGAUAUUUUAGCACAAUCGGGUGUUGAUUUACCUUCAAGAAGAAAAAGCAACAAACUGAGCCCUCUGAACAGCCCACACAACAGUCUAUAAGGCCUUUUCAACAACCACCAGUGAUGCAGCCUUCACAAUCACCGUUGAGGCAGCCUAGCACUGGAAAUGUCUCUUCUUUAUAUGCAGAUACUUCAAAGGUUAAAGGAAGAAAAAAGAAGCAGUCAACUGCAAGGGCAACAUUUUCUUCAACUGAAUGGAUAUUAUCUUCUUCAGUUGGAAUGCCACCACCUUCUUCAGUUGGAAGGCCACCAACUUCUUUAGUUGGAAUGCAACCAACUCCUUCAGUUGGAAGAAAAAGAACAAGAGAUGUAUACUAAAUAAUGACCUAUGGAUUAUGCAACCAGUGAAAUCAAGUGAAAGAGUUAUCACAAGUGGAACAAGGGUAGCAUUUAAAGAUGCAUCACAAACAAAUGUUGAUCUUGGAUUCAAGCCACCUAGUUUAAAAUGGAAAGGAAAAGAUGCAAUGACUGAAAAAUCAACUUCAAUAAUUGUCAAAGACAAAGGUGCAAAGCAAAUCCAAGGGAAAGUGGGUUCCAUAAGAGCUCGAAGUCUUAAUGAUGUGUAUAAAUGUUGAUCUAGGAGGUCUUUGUUUUGUUUAUUUUGAUAACUAUUUGUAAAGGCAUACUCCAAUUACUGAUCAUUUUGAUGUAUUUUGUUAUUUUGAUGUAUGUUUGCAUAGACAAA